rnacentral:rRNA from 1 species
CACAUGCAAGCCGUACGAGAACUCUUUAGCUUGCUAAAGAUAGUAAAGUGGCGCACGGGUGAGUAACGCGUGGGUAAUCUACCUCUGAAUUUGGGAUAACUCCGCGAAAGCGGGGCUAAUACCGGAUAAUAUUUCAGAAUCUUCGGGUUUUGAAAUCAAAAGUGGUCUCUACAUGUAAGCUACUUGUUUGGAUAUGAGCCCGCGUACCAUUAGCUUGUUGGCAGGGUAAUGGCCUACCAAGGCUACGAUGGUUAGCUGGUCUGAGAGGAUGAUCAGCCACACUGGAACUGACACACGGUCCAGACUCCUACGGGAGGCAGCAGUGGGGAAUUUUGCGCAAUGGGGGAAACCCUGACGCAGCAACGCCGCGUGAGUGAUGAAGGCUUUCGGGUCGUAAAGCUCUGUCAAGUGGGAAGAACAUGAAAAAUGUUAAUAUCAUUUUUUACUGACGGUACCACUAAAGGAAGCACCGGCUAACUCCGUGCCAGCAGCCGCGGUAAUCGGAGGGUGCAAGCGUUAUUCGGAAUUAUUGGGCGUAAAGGGCGCGCAGGCGGUCUUUUAAGUCAGAUGUGAAAGCCCGGGCUUAACCCGGAAGUGCAUUUGAAACUGAAGGACUUGAGUAUGGGAGAGGGAAGUGGCA